GUUAUGUAACCAUAAGUGGCACCGUGGCCGUGCCUGCAGGCCAAACCCUCCAUCUCUGGGUACAAAUCCUUCAAAAGGUAGAAUAGGUAAACGGGUGGAAAACAAAACUGAGCUUCCAUCGACGCAAGACUUAACCGAAAUCCCUGCAGUUUGCGUUUGUUUUCGUCGCAGAACUUGGGUCUGUUGUGUUGUUAGCUUUAGCUGACUUUAUUGACAUCUGUACCAACCACGACAAGAGAAAGGCCACAGAGAAGUUUUCUACGAAAGGUGUCUGACAUUGGUUUCCGGUUAUGACGCGGUUUCUCUGGCAAACUUGACCGAGCUCAGGCUGCUGCUCCCCGCAUCCCCGCUCUCAGGUCCAGCUGCUGCAGCGGGGACGCGUUGGCUCGGUUCGGGCGGGAGGUGAUGUGGAGUAAGUCCCCGGGGCGGAUCCACAGCUCCAUCCCGCUGCCGCGCACCCACGGCCCGGAGCCAGAAAAAUAAAAAUGACUCAUCCAGUAACCUUGAUACUCCUCCGGGAAUGACAGUGGAGAGAGGAGCCAUUGAUCAGCAGGAUGCAGCACAGAGCACCAGAUAUGAUCAAUGAAACAGGAUGUGGUGUGUAAAAGCCAUUCAGACCCAGUUAGCCCUCCUCAAUCACACACGUCUCCAGACUUUCAUGCAAUUCUCUCAUACAAACUGAAUUACGUGGUUGUGAACUUGUCAUUCUUUUCAGCAUUCAUGUUUACUUUGGUAGUUUUAAAGUGUAGCAGUAAAGCCAAAUGUAACACCAGAUUUCUGUCGUUCAUGUUAACGUGAUGGGAUUUUAGAACUGCUCAAUGGAAGGAAAAUUAUGAGUAGUUUCUCUUAUUUUGAAAAGUGUGGCAUGUGUUUAUGUUCAGCCCCUUUUACUCUAAUGCCACUUAAUAAAUUCAAGUACAACCAAAGACUUUUGCAGUCUCCAACAGGGUUUUCAUUCAGGAUAUCCCUGUAUUUAGCUUCAUCCACCUUCCUAUCAACUUUCACCAGUUUUCCUGUCCCUAAGGACGAAACAUCCCCACAGCAUGAUGCUACCACCACCAUGUUUUAACAUGGGACGGUGUGUCAUGUUAGUUUUCCACCCAGUUUUGUAGGCCGAACAAAAAAAAAAAAGUUUAGUUUUGGUCUCAUCUGACUACAGCACCUUGUUCCGCAUCUUGUCCCCUACGUGGCUUGAGGCAAACAUCAAAUAGGGCUUCUUUUGGGUACCAUGAGCAUCUUUAUCCUUGUGCAGCCUUUUAUUUUAGAUGCUUGACCGCAUCUUGGUAGGUCUGCAGUUGUCAUACGUUUUCCAUUUUCAAAUGGAGCGAAACAUUUUCCACAACUUCCCCCCUGAUCUGUCUGCUUUGUUCCUUGAUCUUCACGACACUCUUUGUUCUCCAAUAGACCUCUAAGCUCAUCCCAGAACUUGUGUAUCUGUAACUAAAACUAAAUUACACACAGGUGGACAUAAAACUGUAUUUACAGGUAUCAGAUGCAAGCUUAACUUUUAUUUUUUUGUAAUAAAUGUCUAAAACUGUGGAUGUUCACAAUUAUGCGCUGCUUUGCGCUUGCCUAUCACAUAAAAUCCCUAUAAAAACACAAGUUUUUUUGUUGUUGGCUAAAAUUAAAAUGUAAUAAAAAGAAAUAUCAACAGCCCAAAAUUGUUUUAUUAAACUCAUAAUCGCUGUUAUAAUGCUAAGUACACCAUUUAUUAACUUGAAUCGUCAUUUAAUAAAGAAUCUCUUAAA